rnacentral:rRNA from 1 species
CCUACGGGUGGCAGCAGUGGGGAAUCUUGCGCAAUGGGGGCAACCCUGACGCAGCAACGCCGUGUGAGUGAGGAAGGCCUUCGGGUUGUAAAGCUCUGUCAGAUGGGAAAAAUGGCAGUACAUCGAACAGGUGUAUUGAUUGAUGGUACCAUCAGAGGAAGCACCGGCAAACUUCGUGCCAGCAGCCGCGGUAAUACGAAGGGUGCAAGCGUUGUUCGGAUUUAUUGGGCGUAAAGCGCGCGCAGGCGGAUUUGCAAGUCAGGUGUGAAAUCUCGGGGCUCAACCCCGAAACUGCGCCUGAAACUACAAGUCUAGAAUCUCGGAGAGGGAAGUGGAAUUUCGCAUGUAGGGGUAAAAUCCGUAGAGAUGCGAAGGAACACCGGAGGCGAAGGCGGCUUCCUGGCCGAGUAUUGACGCUGAGGCGCGAAAGCGUGGGGAGC